AAACAUCUAAGUACCUGGAGGAAGAGAAAGAAAAAUCGAUUUUCUUAGUAGCGGCGAGCGAAAGGGAAAGAGCCCAAACCAAAGAUUUAUCUUUGGGGUUGCGGACAGAACAUUAACGAGAAAUUAUAGUUAGCCGAACACAACUGGAAAGUUGGACCGUAGGAGGUAAUAGUCCUGUAGGUGAAAAUUAUAAUAAUCAAGUUCUGAUCCAGAGUACCACGAGACACGUGAAACCUUGUGGGAAGCAGGGAGGACCACCUCCCAAGGCUAAAUACUACCUGAUGACCGAUAGUGAAGCAGUACCGUGAGGGAAAG
rnacentral:rRNA from 1 species